rnacentral:lncRNA from 1 species
UGAGAGUUCUACUUGGAAGUAACAAAUCCUAAUACUUAAAAGAACAUUUACUAUUGAUAGGGAUAAGAUAUUCGGUGUCAAGUUCUUUUAAGAAGCUGUGUUGGUCUUUUUUUUCUCCUUAAUCUAAUAAUUAUUGGCUAUGGGCUGUAUAACAUACAGAGUCACUAUUUUUGAUGAUAGAGAACUCAUGUAGCUGACCUGAGCAGUUAAUUCCAAGACUUAUUUGCGUUGUGUAUGCUAUUAAUGCUUCAAUAUGAGAUUGUUUUCGGUGUGAAGUAUGCAUUUUGUGUUGACAUGAAUGCUCAAAACUACUUGUAAAGUUGUAAAUUAGCAGGAAUUUGGUGGUAUUAAUUGUCUAUGUAGCUGGGGAGCAUGUAAACCCUAAAAUUGGCUUUUGAGUGAACAUAUAUCUCAUUUUUUCUUUGCAUGUAGGGUCAUGAAGGGACUAAAUUUAGUAGACUGUAUAUAACAGAGGGAACAAGGGGG